CUAGAUUAGAGUUUGAUCCUGGCUCAGGAUGAACGCUGGCGGCGUGCCUAAGACAUGCAAGUCGAGUGGGUUUAGGCCCACGGCGAACGGGUGAGUAAUACCUAGGAACUUCCCUUUAGUUGAGCAUAACCCACCGAAAGGUGGGAUAAUUCUCAAUGUGGCAGCAAUGCUAAAGUCGCAAGACGCUAAAGAAAAGGCCUGGGCACCAUCAGCUUGUUGGUAAGGUAAAGGCUUACCAAGGCUACGACGGUUAGGGGCCCCGAGAGGGGAAACCUCCACACUGGAACUGCGACACGGUCCAGACUCCUACGGGAGGCAGCAGUUUGGAAUUUUGGACAAUGGGCGAAAGCCUGAUCCAGCGACGCCGCGUGGACGAUGAAGGCCUUCGGGUUGUAAAGUCCUUUUAUCUGGGAAGAAUUUUUGACGGUACCAGAUGAAUAAGAGGUUGCUAACUCUGUGCCAGCAGCAGCGGUAAUACAGAGACCUCAAGCGUUAUCCGGAAUCAUUGGGCGUAAAGCGUACCGAUAGGUGGUUUAGAAAGUCAGAUGUGAAAUUCCAAGGCUCAACCUUGGGACUGUCAUUUGAAACUUCUAAUCUAGAGGGGCAAAGAGGAAGCUGGAACGAACGGUGUAGUAGUGAAAUGCGUUGAUAUCGUUCGGAACACCAAUAGCGAAGGCAGGCUUCUGGGUGCCACCUGACACUGCUAGGACGAAAGCGUGGGGAGCGAAGGGGAUUAGAUACCCCCGUAGUCCACGCUGUAAACGAUGCACAUUAGUGCUAGGGAGUAUCGACCCUCUUUAGUACCAAAGCUAACGCGUUAAAUGUGCCGCCUGGGGAGUACGGCCGCAAGGCUAAAACUCAAAGGAAUUGACGGGGCCCCGCACAAGUGGUGGAGCACGCGGUUUAAUUCGAUGAUAGCGAGGACCUUACCUAGGCUUGACACGUACCUGCAUCUUUCAGAAAUGAAAGC
rnacentral:rRNA from 1 species